ACAUUCGGCCUCUAUAGGAAGUCCACUCGAAGCUCUGAUCUGAUCGGUCUCCUCGAGAAUGCUAGUUCACGCGAAGACCUUCUUCUUGACUGAUCUAGAUCCUUUCUUCAAAUCUUUAAAAUCUUUUCAGAGAUUGAAGAUAGACUUCUGAAGGAGAUGAAAAGGUAAAAGAAAGAUGGAGGAGAAAAUAUUUUUUUCUUAUUUUUUCUCUCUUCCCAAACCUUGAGGAAUAAAUCCUAGAAACUAGGUUUUUGCGCACACCCAAAG
rnacentral:lncRNA from 1 species